GCAUAUCAAUAAGCGGAGGAAAAGAAACCAACAGGGAUUACCUCAGUAACGGCGAAGUGAAGCGGUAACAGCUCAAAUUUGAAAUCUGGGUCUUUCAGGCUCCGAGUUGUAAUUUGUAGAAGAUGCUUCGGGUGCGGCGCCGGUCUAAGUCCCUUGGAACAGGGCGUCACAGAGGGUGAGAAUCCCGUAUGUGAUCGGUUGCCUGUGCCCGUGUGAAGCUCUUUCGACGAGUCGAGUUGUUUGGGAAUGCAGCUCUAAAUGGGUGGUAAAUUUCAUCUAAAGCUAAAUAUUGGCCAGAGACCGAUAGCGCACAAGUAGAGUGAUCGAAAGAUGAAAAGCACUUUGGAAAGAGAGUUAAACAGUACGUGAAAUUGUUGAAAGGGAAGCGCUUGCAACCAGACUUGCGCGUUGUCGAUCAUCCGGGGUUCUCCCCGGUGCACUCGACCUCGCUCAGGCCAGCAUCGGUUUCGGUGGUUGGAUAAAGGCCUUGGGAAUGUAGCUUCCUUCGGGGAGUGUUAUAGCCCUCGGUGCAAUGCAGCCUACCGGGACCGAGGACCGCGCUUCGGCUAGGAUGCUGGCGUAAUGGUUGUAAGCGACCCGUCUUGAAACACGGACCAAGGAGUCUAACAUCUAUGCGAGUGUUUGGGUGUCAAACCCAUACGCGUAAUGAAAGUGAACGGAGGUGAGAACCCUUAAGGGUGCAUCAUCGACCGAUCCUGAUGUCUUCGGAUGGAUUUGAGUAAGAGCAUAGCUGUUGGGACCCGAAAGAUGGUGAACUAUGCCUGAAUAGGGUGAAGCCAGAGGAAACUCUGGUGGAGGCUCGCAGCGGUUCUGACGUGCAAAUCGAUCGUCAAAUUUGGGUAUAGGGGGCGAAAGACUAAUCGAACCAUCUAGUAGCUGGUUCCUGCCGAAG
rnacentral:rRNA from 1 species